GAUGAACGCUAGCGGGAGGCUUAACACAUGCAAGUCGAGGGGCAUCUCUGGUAGCAAUACUGGAGGCGACCGGCGGACGGGUGAGUAACGCGUGGGUAAUCUACCUCGUAGUUCGGGAUAACAGGCCGAAAGGCUUGCUAAUACCGGAUGAGUUCAUGCUUAUGCAUAUAGGCAUGAAGAAAGGGCUAGCCCGCUAUGAGAUGAGCCCGCGUCCCAUUAGCUUGUUGGUGGGGUAAUGGCCUACCAAGGCAACGAUGGGUAGCCGGCCUGAGAGGUUGGCCGGCCACAUUGGGACUGAGACACGGCCCAGACUCCUACGGGAGGCAGCAGUGGGGGAUAUUAGUCAAUGGGGGAAACCCUGAACUAGCGACGCCGCGUGAAGGAAGAAGGUCUUCGGAUUGUAAACUUUUGUCUUCAGGGACGAAGCAAGUGACGGUACCUGAGGAGGAAGCCACGGCUAACUACGUG
rnacentral:rRNA from 1 species